rnacentral:snoRNA from 1 species
GCAAAAACAUAUCUGUUCUAUAGGCUCGUACCUUUGUAUCCUUAAGUUCUAAGGAGACAGGAACUGAAAUCUGGUGGAUGAACAAAGACUCUGUGAUCAGAGC